GGUUAGGGUAUAAUAUCUCUCUUGUACACCCACUACUAUUGUACAUUGACCAUUAUGACAUCUAUACUUCUUCCUUUCAUCUCUAAAAAUUGUUUCUCCCUAGUGCGAGAAACAAAGCCCAAGGGCAGGGAUCCUCUCCUGACUGUAUCUUAGCAAAAGUUUAAGCUUAUCAUGUGAGAUGCUUAAUGACUGCUGAAUCUAUGCACAGGACACUUAAGCAAAAGAAUAUGUUAUACAAUUUGGUAUUUCCCCAAAGGCUGCACAUAUAAUCCACAAAGCAACAGGGCAAAUACAUUAUUUGUUCUGUCACAAGAACAUUAUCCUGUCAGAUCAAAACAAUGCUAAAG
rnacentral:lncRNA from 1 species